rnacentral:rRNA from 1 species
UACGGGGGGGGCAAGCGUUGUUCGGAAUUACUGGGCGUAAAGGGCUCGUAGGCGGCCAACUAAGUCGGAUGUGAAAUCCAGGCUUAACCUGGGAACUGCAUCCGAUACUGGAUGGCUUGAAUCCGGGAGAGGGAUGCAGAAUUCCAGGUGUAGCGGUGAAAUGCGUAGAUAUCUGGAGGAAUACCGGUGGCGAAGGCGGCAUCCUGGACCGGCAUUGACGCUGAGUGAGCGAAAGCCAGGGGAGCAAACGGG